rnacentral:rRNA from 1 species
UUCGAUUCUGGCUCAGAUUGAACGCUGGCGGGGAUGCUUGCAUGCAAGUCAGGAGCGGCGGCACGGACUUCGGUCUGGUGGCGAGUGGCGAACAGGUGAGUAAUGUAUCGGAACGUGCCUAGCUGUAGAGAUUAACUACGCGAAAGCGUAGCUAAUGCCGCAUACGCCCUUCGAGGAAAGCAGGACCUUCGGAGCCUCGCACUAUUGAAACGGCCGAUAUCGGAUUAGCUAGUUGGUGGGGGUAACGGCUCACCGGGCGACGAUCGUAGCUGGUUUGGGGGACGACCAGCCACACUGGGACUGAGAGACAGCCAGACUCCUACGGGAGGCAGCAGUGGGGAAUUUUGGACAAUGGGGAAACCCUGAUCCAGCCAUCCCGCGUGUGCGAUGAAGGCCUUCGGGUUGUAAGCACUUUUGGCAGGAAAAGCAGCACGGGAUAAUACCCGUGCAACGGCAAUACCUGCAGAAUAAGCACCGGCUAACUACGUGCCAACAUGCGUGGUAAUACGUAAGUGCAAGCGGUAAUCGGAAUUACUGGAGGCGUAAAGCGUGCAUGACGAUUCGGAAGAAAAGAUGUGAAAUCCCAGAGCUUAACUUUGGAACUGCAUUUUUAACUACCGAGCUAGAGUGUGUCAGAGGAGUGGAAUUCCGCGUGCAGCAGCAGUGAAAUGCGUAGAUAUGCGGAGGAACACCGAUGGCGAAAACAGCCUCUGGGAUAACGCGACGCUCAUGCACGAAAGCGUGGGGAGCAAACAGGAUUAGAUGCCUGAGCGGUCACGCCCUAAACGAUGUCAACUAGCUGUUGGGGCCUUCGGGCCUUGGUAGCGCAACUAACACGUGAAGUUGACCGCCUGGGAGUACGGUCGCAAGAUUAAAACUCAAAGGAAUUGACGGGGACCCGCACAAGCGGUGGAUGAUGUGGAUUAAUUCGAUGCAACGCGAAAAACCUUACCUACCCUUGACAUGUCUGGAAUGUCAGAAAGAGAUUUGGCAGUGCUCGCAAGAGAACCGGAACACAGGUGCUGCAUGGCUGUCGUCAAGCUCGUGUCUCGUGGAGAUGUUGGGUUAAGUCCCGCAACGAGCGCAACCCUUGUCAUUAGUUGCUACGAAAGGGCACUCUAAUGAGACUGCCGGUGACAAACCGGAGGAAGGUGGGGAUGACGUCGAGUCCCUCAUGGCCCUUAUGGGUAGGGCUUCACACGUCAUACAAUGGUGGGACAGAAGGUCGCCAACCCCGCGAGAAGGCCAAUCCCGAAACCCGAUCGUAGUCCGGAUCGCAGUCUGCAACUCGACUGCGUAAGUCAGAAUCGCUAGUAAUCUCGCGGAUCAGCAUCUCGCGGUGAAUACGUUCCGGGUCUUGUACACACCGCCCGUCACACCAUGGGAGUGGGUUUUACCAGAAGUAGUUAGCCUAACCGCAAGGCGAUUACCACGGUAGGAUUCGCGGCUGGGGUGAAGUCGUAACAAGGUAA